GACGAACGCUGGCGGCGUGCUUAACACAUGCAAGUCGAACGAUGAAGCCUUUCGGGGUGGAUUAGUGGCGAACGGGUGAGUAACACGUGGGCAAUCUGCCCUGUACUUUGGGAUAAGCCUUGGAAACGGGGUCUAAUACCGGAUAUCACUUACCUCCGCAUGGGGGUUUGGUUGAAAGUUCUGGCGGUACAGGAUGAGCCCGCGGCCUACUCAGCUUGUUGGUGGGGUAGUGCCUACCAAGGCGACGACGGGUAGCCGGCCUGAGA
rnacentral:rRNA from 1 species